rnacentral:piRNA from 1 species
UAGCAAUACACUUGAUCUCUGGUGAGGAC